GUUAGGAAUAUUGGACAAUGGGCGCAAGCCUGAUCCAGCCAUGCCGCGUGAACGAUGAAGGCCUUCGGGUUGUAAAGUUCUUUAGCCGAUGAUUAUAAUGACUGUAGUCGGAAAAUAAGCCCCGGCUAACUUCGUGCCAGCAGCCGCGGUAAUACGAAGGGGGCGAGCGUUAUUCGGAAUCACUGGGCGUAAAGCGUGCGUAGGCGGUAUCGUAAGUUAGGAGUGAAAGCCCAGGGCUCAACCUGGGAAUUGCUCUUAAUACUGCAAGGCUAGAAUCUCGGAGAGGAUAGCGGAAUUUCCAGUGUAGCAGUGAAAUGCGUAGAUAUUGGAAGGAACACCAGUGGCGUAAGCGGCUAUCUGGACGAGUAUUAACGCUGAGGCACGAAAGCGUGGGGAUCAAACAGGAUUAGAUACCCUAGUAGUCC
rnacentral:rRNA from 1 species